CGCUCGCUCGAGCUCGGCGCGGACCCGCCCGGGAGCGCUCCUCGCAGCCCAGCUGCCCGGGUCCCACCGCCCUACCGGGCGCGGGCGAUCAGACUACCUCGGAGGGCGCGCCCAGACACCCAGUCGUCCGGCCACCUCAGUGGGCACACUCGGCACCCUGUGAUCCGACCACCCGCGGAGGCGCGCUAGCCCUCUGGGUGGGCGUGCUGGGCUUCUCUGCGGCGGAAGUCUGAACCACAGAUUGUGACUUCUUUUCUAGCAAUAGGUGUUGACUGGUCCGACUGCUGCCUUUCUGCCUGAAAGUAGUUCAAACUGUAAGUUCAGCAAACUAUAUAAUUAAAUAUUGAUAGUUUUAGAGAUCUAUGCUGAUUUUCCAGUCUGUCUACUCAAGAUUCUGGCUUCCUAAGAGGGGAGAGAGGGUGGAGACCAUUGCCUGGAGGGAUGUAUGGCAUGGGGACAUUUCUUUACAACCCAACAGUAUGACUUCCUAUGAACUACUUAGGCCAUUGCAUCCAUUGGCCAGCUUCCUUCUGAGCUCUUUCUUGCUACAUUGUAAUACUGCAUGAAGCUUCACUACAGCUUUUGACUGACUUCCUUCUGAGAUCUUCUUUGCUACAUUGUAAUGCGACAUGAAGCUUUGGCAUCUGGGUAAUGCUGAAUUGGUAUUUCCCAAAUGUCUUUUUCUUUCUGGAUAGCUUUGUGUGCUCUCAUAUCUUGGUUCAAGAAGAUGGCUCUUAAUAUGUAGAUACCUCCAGAUUCAGGAGCUGAAUUCUUUGGGGUCAGAUGAAAUUCUGUGGUUAGCAAUUUAACAUGUAUACUAGUCAAAUUGCCGGCUCUCAGCUGACGAAGGCUGUGCUCAUAGAAUACUAUACUAGUAGCUUAUAUAAUGGAAUGUAUUAAAGUACCCAACAAAGAGGCUGCAUAGGACAAGACUUUACAGACUUCCUGGGGCUAGUUCUGCCUUCUCUACCUUAUGGGGUGUCAAGUGCUUCCAAAUGUGACUCUUAAAGCAAGGGGGAUUAUCUGUGCUCUGAAGGGGUUGGUGCCGGGAGAGACGCACUGCUGCUUCAUAGGCUUUGACAUGUAACUUAAAAUAUUUUUUAAAAAAUUCUCAGGCACUUAAUGCAUUCUGCCAGUGGCUGGGCUCUGAAAAGCUGGUUUUUAAUAGAAAAGACAUUUCUCUUAUCUUAUCUUCUCUCUUGUUUUUCUACCAUCCUGUGUCUGCCUCCUUGUCUAAACCACAAAUUUCUAUAUCAUUCACUUCACUUAGAAAUACCGCUUCCAUUUUGUUUCUCUGUAGCUUAUUGCUAGAGCUGCUAAUAGACUUUCAACACAAAUAGUGUAUUGAUCACCGAAAUCUCCUUCGAGCUUGACUGAAUAUACAUAAUGGGGUGUCAAUCGGAGAAAAUCUCAUAAUAAGUGGCAGGCGACUUAUAUUCAUGAGAAAAAUGUCUUGGGCAGCACACAAAAUAUCAUGUCUACUGUAGCAUGACAGGCUCGCCUCGCCGGUCCCGGCCGGUCUCUGCGCAUUCAUGGUGGGUGUUUAAUAGGGAAGGCAGGGUUAGAAUGCCACGUUCCCGAAUCUUUCCUUUGUUUGUGUAAGAGGCAUUUUGUACACUCCACAGAGUAUAAACAUCUUCUAGAAGCACCGCCAGCAAGAAAGAUCUUUUAUACCUGAGGAAUUCAUAAAUUGCAAACAAAUCUGUUUAAGUUGAUGUAUAUUUAAAAUCAGCUACUGAUUUAUGCAGUCCAUAUUUUAAAAUUUUUUACCAUGUGUGUACCAGGGCAUACACACACUGUAUGCAAAUAUUUUCAAUGCAUGUAUGGGAACACACAGUAUAUUUAGAGAGCAGCCUGUUUAACAUAAAUUAUUUUUAAGAGCAACCCAACAGAGGAAUAGCCAUGCAUUAGGAAAGCCAUGUUUUAAUCUCUCCACCACCACCCCUUUAAGCUUGCUGUUGGAUGGUAUGUGAAGGAAUUUUAUUUUUAUAACUUUAUAUGAAAUUCUGCUUUUCCUACCAGAAGUCUUGAAUUAUUUCUCCAAACCCAUUACUGGAGAGGCUGAGGCAGAAGGGUAGCAAUGAGUUCAAGGACAGCCUGGGCUGCAGUGUGAAGCCCCGUGUCAAAAAGUUGAAUUUCCAACCUUGAUGACCAAUACCUUUAAUUCCAGCUCUUGGGAAGCAGACGCAGGGGGGAUCUUGAUGAGUUCCAAGCCAGCCAGAGCUACUGAGCUAGUGAGACCUCAUCACAAACAAAAGCAAAAUGGUCAAUUAAUACAAAGGACAGGGGUGGCUGGGUCCCAGGAGCUUGCUAUCCUGCAAGCCUGGUCUACUGGGCAGACUAUAAGCCAAAGAAAGACUCUGUCUCAAAAACCAAGGAAGAUAGCGCCUGAGGACAACAGCUAGGGUUAACCAUCAACCCUCACACUCAAAGGCAUGCACAUGCACCUACAUAAACACACGCCCACACACAUGCACAAUACUAAUAAUAAUACAUAUUGCUCUUCCUGAUAGAGCAGUCUUUGAGAAACUAAGUGUCCCCAGUGAGAAGGGACCUUCAGGGUGGUACCUUCAGUUGGGUGAUGGCAGACAUUUCUGGCAGGGUCUGGUUCCUUUAUGCACUGACUUGGCAACUGUGGCUGCUGGUUGUCUAUAUAGAAUCUUGCUACUGAGGGAUCACGGGAGGUCCACAGCAUUAGCUGGCACACUGCUCCGCCCCAUGACAGACCAGAAUGUGGAGUUUUCUCAGUUGAUUGGGUGAGAUACAGCCCAGUUAUAUCGGAUAUGCCACUUCUUCUCUAAGCAAAUGGAGCCAAUGACUUUUGACAUUGCCAAAAAUCAAAUUUUGUUUUUUUAAAAAAAUAUAAUAAUUCAGCAUAUGCAUGUAUGUAUGCUCAGUGGUGAACAUACCACAGUGUGCUGUGGAAGGCAAAGGACAGCUUGUGGGAAUCAGUUCUCUCCUUCUACCAUAUGAAUUGCAGGGACCAAACUCAGGUAACCAGGUUUAGCCACAAGUUCCAAUAUGCUGUGGGUGAUGGCAGUGAGGAAGGCAUGCAAAAAGAAAUUCAUGUUUAGAGAGAUGGCUCAGUAGAUAAGAGCACUUGCCACAUGACCAUGAGGUCCUGAACUCAGAUGCCAGCACAUACAUAACAAGCUGGACAUGGUCCACCUGUAACUUCUGUACUCAGUGUGGACAGAGACAGGAGGAACACUGAGGCUUGUGAGCUGCCAGCCUAUCUCCAGGUUCAGUGGGAGAGCCUCCAUAGAGGAGGACACCCGGCAUCCUUAUAUAUAUGUACCCACAUAUGCACCCCACACUCGGUAUCAUCACCCUGUAAACAGAUGUCUGUUUCUGCUUCUUAGAGCAUUUAAGAUGUUUUAACGUGAGACAUGGUGUGGUUUCUCAUGGUCUCCACCACAGGAGGCAUUUAUACUAGUCGGUGUGCCAAUGAGGGCAAGUAUGGCUGCUGAGGUAUAGAGACUUGACAUAAAGCUCAAACCUUCCCUCCCCAUAGCAAGAACUUGCACCGUUUUCCCUGCUGCUUUGAUGAAAUGUUUUUUACUUGUUUUUAUUGUUUGAGUUUUUAGUUAGCAAAUGGAUGGGGUACAAAGUUUGCUGAGAAAAUGGAUUACCAGAAAGCUGGUAUUUAGACGCUCAGGGAUAUGCAUUAUGGGAAAUCUGCCCUUACUGUUAAAUGAUUACUAUAAAAUAUGCCUGAUGAAUAAUCUACAUAUAUUAUUAUGUAUGUCAGUAGCUUGGUUCCAAUUAAAAACUGUAUAGGGGGUGUGUGGCUUUUCAGAGUCAGUCAGCUGCAUAGUUUAUACUUGGAGACUGUGCUGGUGUGGUUUUAUGAAAGGUAAGUUUAAACUCAGCAGUAAGAACAAGCCUCAUGAAUUUUAACCUGCAGAGAAGUACAUAUGCAAAAGCUGGAAGAAAACUGGGACUUCUUGGAUGUCUGUGAUGAAAGAGAAAAUUAAAUCUUAGAGAAAGGAAACUAGG
ensembl:lincRNA 9530059O14Rik RIKEN cDNA 9530059O14 gene